UAUGGAUUCCAGAAAAUUGUC
rnacentral:piRNA from 1 species